rnacentral:rRNA from 1 species
UUGACCUCGGAUCAGGUAGGAAUACCCGCUGAACUUAAGCAUAUCAAUAAGCGGAGGAAAAGAAACCAACAGGGAUUGCCCCAGUAACGGCGAGUGAAGCGGCAACAGCUCAAAUUUGAAAUCUGGCCCUAGGCCCGAGUUGUACUUUGCAGAGGAUGCUUCGGGCGCGGCGCCUUCCAAGUCCCCUGGAACGGGGCGCCUUAGAGGGUGAGAGCCCCGUACGGUCGGACGCCAAGCCUGUGUGAAGCUCCUUCGACGAGUCGAGUAGUUUGGGAAUGCUGCUCAAAAUGGGAGGUAGACCCCUUCUAAAGCUAAAUACCGGCCAGAGACCGAUAGCGCACAAGUAGAGUGAUCGAAAGAUGAAAAGCACUUUGAAAAGAGGGUCAAAAGCACGUGAAAUUGUUGAAGGGGAAGCGCUUGUGACCAGACUUGCGCCGGGGCGAUCAUCUGGCGUUCUCGCCGGUGCACUCGCCCCGGCUCAGGCCAGCGUCGGUUUGGGAGGGAGGACAAAGGCGUCGGGGACGUGGCUCCCUCGGGAGUGUUAUAGCCCGGCGCGUCAUGCCCCCUCCCGGACCGAGGUUCGCGCUCUGCAAGGACGCUGGCGUAAUGGUCACCAGCGGCCCGUCUUGAAACACGGACCAAGGAGUCGAGGUUCUGCGCGAGUGUUUGGGUGUCAAACCCGCACGCGUAAUGAAAGUGAACGUAGGUGAGAGCUUCGGCGCACCACCGACCGAUCCUGAUGUUCUCGGAUGGAUUUGAGUAAGAGCGUUGGGCCUCGGACCCGAAAGAUGGUGAACUAUGCUUGGAUAGGGUGAAGCCAGAGGAAACUCUGGUGGAGGCUCGCAGCGGUUCUGACGUGCAAAUCGAUCGUCAAAUCUGAGCAUGGGGGCGAAAGACUAAUCGAACCAUCUAGUAGCUGGUUACCGCCGAAGUUUCCCUCAGGAUAGCAGUGUUGUCUUCAGUUUUAUGAGGUAAAGCGAAUGAUUAGGGACUCGGGGGCGCUAUAUUGCCUUCAUCCAUUCUCAAACUUUAAAUAUGUAAGAAGCCCUUGUUGCUUAGUUGAACGUGGGCCUUCGAAUGCAUCAACACUAGUGGGCCAUUUUUGGUAAGCAGAACUGGCGAUGUGGGAUGAACCAUACGCGGGGUUAAGGUGCCGGAGUGGACGCUCAUCAGACACCACAAAAGGCGUUAGCACAUCUUGACAGCAGGACGGUGGCCAUGGAAGUCGGAAUCCGCUAAGGACUGUGUAACAACUCACCUGCCGAAUGUGCUAGCCCUGAAAAUGGAUGGCGCUCAAGCGUCCCACCCAUACCUCGCCCUCAGGGUAGAAACGAUGCCCUGAGGAGUAGGCGGCCGUGGGGUCCGUGACGAAGCCCAGGGCGUGAGCCCGG